AGUGAACGCUGGCGGUAGGCCUAACACAUGCAAGUCGAACGGCAGCACAGGAGAGCUUGCUCUCUGGGUGGCGAGUGGCGGACGGGCGAGGAAUACAUCGGAAUCUACCUUUUCGUGGGGGAUAACGUAGGGAAACUUACGCUAAUACCGCAUACGACCUACGGGUGAAGGUGGGGGACCGCAAGGCCUCACGCGAUUAGAUGAGCCGAUGUCCGAUUAGCUAGUUGGCGGGGUAAUGGCCCACCAAGGCGACGAUCGGUAGCUGGUCUGAGAGGAUGAUCAGCCACACUGGAACUGAGACACGGUCCAGACUCCUACGGGAGGCAGCAGUGGGGAAUAUUGGACAAUGGGCGCAAGCCUGAUCCAGCCAUACCGCGUGGGUGAAGAAGGCCUUCGGGUUGUAAAGCCCUUUUGUUGGGAAAGAAAUCCUGUCGAUUAAUACUCGGUGGGGAUGACGGUACCCAAAGAAUAAGCACCGGCUAACUUCGUGCCAGCAGCCGCGGUAACAC
rnacentral:rRNA from 1 species